rnacentral:rRNA from 1 species
CAAUAGCGUAUAUUAAAGUUGUUGCGGUUAAAAAGCUCGUAGUUGGAUUUCUGCCGAGGACGACCGGUCCGCCCUCUGGGUGAGCAUCUGGCUCGGCCUGGGCAUCUUCUUGGAGAACGUAUCUGCACUUGACUGUGUGGUGCGGUAUUCAGGACUUUUACUUUGAGGAAAUUAGAGUGUUUCAAGCAGGCAUACGCCUUGAAUACAUUAGCAUGGAAUAAUAAGAUAGGACCUCGGUUCUAUUUUGUUGGUUUGCGCAUCAAAGUAAUGAUUAAUAGGGACAGUUGGGGGUAUUCGUAUUCCGUUGUCAGAGGUGAAAUUCUUGGAUUUACGGAAGACGAACUACUGCGAAAGCAUUUACCAAGGAUGUUUUCAUUAAUCAAGAACGAAAGUUAGGGGAUCGAAGAUGAUUAGAUACCAU